rnacentral:rRNA from 1 species
UACGGAGGGGGCUAGCGUUGUUCGGAAUUACUGGGCGUAAAGCGCACGUAGGCGGCUUCGCAAGUCAGGGGUGAAAGCCCGGGGCUCAACCCCGGAACUGCGUUUGAGACUGCGUGGCUUGAAUCCGGGAGAGGCGGGUGGAAUUCCGAGUGUAGAGGUGAAAUUCGUAGAUAUUGGGAAGAACACCAGUGGCGAAGGCGGCGCGCUGGACCGGGACUGACGCUGAGGCGCGAAAGCGUGGGGAGCAAACAGG